rnacentral:lncRNA from 1 species
AGUCAUACUCCAACCACAUUGAGACAUACUCUCCUUGUCCUUUAAUUGUUUAUAAUUUAAUUUUCUUCUGCUUGAAAUUUUGUCCAUUAUAAGCUAUUUUCAUAUUUGUGAGAAAAUGAAAUCACAGAAUUUCAAAAUUUUGGGGACGAAGAUAUACAACCUUCCACCAAAUCCAGUUUUCUGGCAAUGGAAAUCAGAGAAACACUGUUCCUGAAAGCUUCUGUCACUCAAGAAUCCAUGAAACAUUCAUGAACUUCACAUCAGAUUCCAGUUGUGAAAAAAAAUUGUGCCUAAAGAAUAUAGUCCCUUUAUAGAAUUGUUUUGAAACCUACCACAGGUAUUUCUACACAGGAAGAUUUCUGUAUUUGUCUUCUUAACUCUUGAGUUUUGUUGUUGCUAAUAUUGGAUGAAGAGGAGACAAAAUGAUUGGAUCUAGAGGAGCACCGACAAGCAAAUGGCAGGUGCUAUUGUGGAGGUGCAUACCCAACAGUUUGAUAAUGUAGAGGAAGUGAUAGCUUUGUCUCGUGGAAUCUGGGUCGACCUCACAGAGGAGCUGUUAUUUGUUCUGGAUAUUGAACAGUGACAAGGAUUCAGUGGGAGAGAAAGAGGCGAGGAUUUUAAUGCAACUUGUUACACAAGAUGAACCCAAACAUAUUUGACUUUUUAUUUUCAGAAAAGCUUAAUACAUAGUUUUGAAUAUGGAUUGUCCCACAGGAUAAAUGCAUGAAAAAAGUUGGAAAAGAGAAAUUGAAUUACAUCCUAAUUGUAGUGUUUUCUCAGGCAGAUCAAUUUUAGAAAGAGAACAUUGACUUGGAAAACUGAAGAGUCUUGAAACUUGGACAGCCAACAGAAAGGAAGCUAAUAAAUAAAUUUGUCAGAACACGAUUCUCAGUUUCACUUAUUUUGAAUUAAAGGUAACCUGGAAAAUGGAUUAGGAAAACAGCCUAUAAUCAGAGGAGUGACCCCAGUGAGACCCUGUCAUUAAAACUUUAGUGUUGAGCCUGCAAACCUCUGUUCCUCUGAUUAGGCAAUUUACUCCAUUUCCACCUUUCUGUCUGCCAAAACAUUUAGUGGCAAAACAUUUUCUAAUUCUCUAGACUCAUAAAAUGUUGUUUUGAAAAAAAGUAAAACAGAAUGGAUUACCUUUUUAAGCUGUCUAUCAUAAUGUAAUCAGAAAACAUGAGGGAUUAAUAGAUAAUAUUGUAAAGAGGCAAAGGCAGCAGAUGUUAUUUAGAUGAGCAGAAGGUCACAGACCUCUGUUGAGGAUUGAAAGCUUGAGGUACGUGCCUUUGUUCCUCAGUGUGUGUGGAUCAGAGUGAUUACUGAUAUCAGUUAGCAACAUGGUGGAGGGGACAAACUGGGGCUGCAUUUUCACUAUGUUUAUUAUUGCUCAAGGUCAAAAAGUGACUGUGUAGUGCCUCAGUUUUUACAUCUUUGUGUUAUCAAUAUUUUUUUCUAUUACCUUACAAGUUUAUUUUGAUGCUGUAAUGAUGAGACAGUGUUUUGAAAAGUUCUAAAUAAAU